ACGAACCGUCCAAACGUUAUUCGGAAUUACUGGGCUUAAAGGGUGCGUAGGCGGCGCUACAAGUCGGGUGUGAAAUCCCUCAGCUUAACUGAGGAACUGCGCCCGAAACUGUAGUGCUGGAGUGAGGCAGGGGUGAGCGGAACUGAUGGUGGAGCGGUGAAAUGUGUUGAUAUCAUCAGGAACACCGGUGGCGAAGGCGGCUCACUGGGCCUUUACUGACGCUGAGGCACGAAAGCUAGGGGAGCAAACGGGAUUAGAUACCCCGGUAGUCCUAGCUGUAAACGAUGAGCACUUGAUCGGAGACUCCUCCAUAGGUUUCCGGUCGUAGCGAAAGUGUUAAGUGCUCCGCCUGGGGAGUAUGGUCGCAAGGCUG
rnacentral:rRNA from 1 species